UACGAAGGGGGCGAGCGUUGUUCGGAUUUACUGGGCGUAAAGGGCGCGUAGGCGGCCUUGUCAGUCAGGCGUGAAAGCCCCGGGCUCAACCUGGGAACGGCGCUUGGGACGGCGAGGCUGGAGUUCGGGAGAGGAGAGUGGAAUUCCCAGUGUAGAGGUGAAAUUCGUAGAUAUUGGGAGGAACACCUGUGGCGAAAGCGGCGCACUGGACCACAACUGACGCUGAGGCGCGAAAGCUAGGGGAGCAAACAGG
rnacentral:rRNA from 1 species